rnacentral:rRNA from 1 species
UACGUAGGGGGCGAGCGUUUGUCCGGAUUUAUUGGGCGUAAAGAGCGUGUAGGCGGCCAGGUAGGUCUGCUGUGAAAACUCGAGGCUCAACCUCGAGACGUCGGCGGAAACCAUCUGGCUAGAGUCCGGAAGAGGAGAGUGGAAUUCCUGGUGUAGCGGUGAAAUGCGCAGAUAUCAGGAAGAACACCCGUGGCGAAGGCGGCUCUCUGGGACGGUACUGACGCUGAGACGCGAAAGCGUGGGGAGCGAACGGG